rnacentral:lncRNA from 1 species
UGAUUUUGUCAUCAACAAGGCAAAUACCCUGGUUUUCAGAAUGGGAGGCCUAGAAGAUGCUGGAAGGUACCACCAUCUUUGUUGGGAAGGGAAUGCGAUGACGAGCUGGAAGGUUCCUGUUCUCGUCUGUAAAAUGACUGUUUGAAGGUGAAAAACAUCCAUGUUUUCUUCAGCACCGAGUCAGUCUAUGACAGUGGCUCUCAGCCCUGGUGAUUGGCCCCCAAGGGACAUUUGGAGACGUUGAUUGUCAAGACUUGGUGUGGGCACUGGAUUUUAAUGGGUGAAGCCUAGACAUUUUAACGGGUGAAGACAACAUGAUGUUUGUGCUGCUAAACACCCUACGGUGUGUGGGACAGCCCCAUCACGGAGAGUGGACAGAGCCAGCGUAUCAUAUGCUAAGGUUGAGGAGCCCUGGUCUAAUGAUAGGAGCAAUUCAAGAUCUGUCUUCACUGCCUUCACAGAGAGCCAUGUCUUUCAGAAAAUGUGCUGGAUUAGUCUCAAGGACCAUUUUUUUCAGAGGCUUAUUUUUAAAUCUGUUCAGAGGAGUGGGGAAGACCCAUUCAGAAGAGUUAUUUCACAAACACGUGGCAAUUAUCAGUGCAGAUUUCUUGUUAAGGUUCCCUAGCAAUGACUGUAUUUCCCCAGUAGAAAUGGGGUGUGUGUGCUGCUGCACAUCACAGGCAGAUGUGGGAGACCCUGUUUGUUUUGUGGCAGUGGGAACAGUCGCAAUUUUAGAGAGGACUUAUUGAGGGGCAUUUGUUACUUUAAACAAUUUAGUGCCAUACAAAGGAUUAGACAGAGCUCCUGAAGGGGGAAUCUCCCUCAUUUUCAGGGUGUUAACUACAGAGGAGUUGAGGGAAGGGGCCAUGGAGGGAACUGACUGAGACAGGUAGAGCAUCUACCGCCCAAAAGUCAAAGCAAAGACAGGGUUAGAAGGACCCAGCUGGGCAUUUUCUGCUCUUGAAUCUGCAGAGAGUGUCAUUAGGCCAAAAUUGGCAUCCUCUCUCUUCUGUUUAUCAGAAACCACCUUCUCAUUUGUUGUCCUUCAUUUUAAACAGGGCAGACCUCCUUAUGCUGCUUCAGCAGAAGAAGUGGCCAAAGAACUUAAGUCAAAAUCUGGGGAAUCGAAGUCCUCUGCUAUGUCUUCAGACGGGUCCCUGGCUGAAAACGGAGUGAUGGCCGAGGAGAAGCCGGCUCCCCAGAUGAACGGGAGCACGGGUGACGCCAGGGCCCCCAGCCACUCUGAAAGUGCCUUGAAUAAUGACUCUAAAACGUGCAAUACAAAUCCUCAUUUAAAUGCACUAAGUACAGACAGCGCUUGCCGCAGAGAAGCUGCUCUGGAGGCAGCUGUCUUAAAUAAAGAAGAGUAAACUUAUUUUUUAUAGAGGGUGAAGGAUGCUGGAAGGGUAAGGAUUUAGGAAUAUCUGGAGAGAAAGAGAGCCUGCAGUUAUGUACAUUUUGUCCUUUCCGUAAGAGAAAAAUGAGGACUUUGGAAAUUCAGAUCCCUCUUUGAUAUCAGAGAUUUAAACAACACAUUUUUAGUUUUAACCAGUUGUAGUCAAAAUGCUACAAUAAAACAAAAAAGAGAAAGAAAAUGAAGAGCAUUUGACUCCCGCACUUAAAAUGAAGUACACAUAAAGUUUAAACUGGUUAUGACAAAAGCCUUUAGUUGUGUUUCUUGAACUAUAAAGAAAACAAAUUUUGGCAGUCUUUAAGUAUAUAUAGCUUAAAAUAUAAUUUUUAGCAUUUGGCACCAUAUGUAUGCCAUUAUAUUUGAUUUUGCAUUACUGUUUCACAAUGAAGCUUUCUUUAAGGCUUUGAUUUUUAUGAUUAUGAAAGAAAUAAGGCACAACCACAGUUUUUCUUUCUUAAAUUUCAUCACUGUUGAUGUGGUUCUUUUGUGUUAAAAAAAAAAAGUGCAACUAUCAAAACUAAAAAAUUAUAGAGUAAUAUUGCCGUUCUGCUGAUUUUAAAUAUACAAUACAUCAUACAUACUUUACAAGCAAGUUAAAUGGAGAUAAAGUUGAAAUCAUAGAAGAUGCAAAUGACCUUUCAAAAUCAACACAAUGUGUUCUGAAACUUUCGUGACUAAUACCAUGCAUCUGUGAUCAAUGAACUAUGUGGUUUUGAAUCGGAUGUAGACCAUUAGUACUACUACUUGAGCUAAACUUCUGCAUGGUUCAUAAUUUUUAAAGUGUGUAGUUAAUAUGCAUGUUAUCGUCCUUUCUUCCAUUCUUAACAGUAUGUGCCCAUUUGCAAAACAAAAAUGCUAAUAAUCAGUAAUAGUCCUAUAAAAGAUGUUAACUCUGUUUAGUCAUUGACUGAUCUUGCUCUAACCUUAAAAUUUUGUGAUUAUUGACCUCUGUUGCAUUUAUUCUAAAGCCCCCCAAAAAUUAUCUAGCCGUUUCGAAUAUCAACAUUACCCUGGUGUAUUCACUGCUGUAUGCAUUAUUGUUCUUUGUUGCUGUUUUAUGCCUUCAUAUUAGCAAAUAUGAAAUUCUGUGAAAAAAAACCCUUUGAUCUUAAAAAAAAAAAA